rnacentral:misc_RNA from 1 species
UGUCAUCCUCGCCGCCUCUCA